UUUAAAGUAGUUUAAUUAGAAUUUAAAAAAUAUAGAUUUGUGGUAUCUAAGAUGUAAUUUUUAAAGAUACCUUUAAAC
rnacentral:tRNA from 1 species